rnacentral:misc_RNA from 1 species
AAAGUGCGAUAAGCGUCACGACUUGCAGAUUCCAGAGAGCUGACAAGUUUCUGAAUGCAAAUUGCGCCUGAUGUUGAAACCACAGGCAUGUGCUGCAGAGUGUAGUUGCUAAAGGCAAUGAAUCAAAAACAAAGAUGUUUUGUCUCUGAGCCCUUCAACGCAGGCUCGCUGAAUGAUGCCUGUGUCGGCCUUGAAAUCGCACGCGCCAGCUUCAUAACCUGGUCGCGGUAGGACCAAUGGAGUUCUCGCAACCAGGAGAAGCCGACUGUGUGCUUUCUUCAUUUCGCCACCUCUGCAGUACAGGAUGACCCGCUGAACUUAA